UGUAUGAUCUACAUCAACACUCUUACAUCGGUAUUUUGUAACAUCAUUCACGUUAUUAGCAAUGGCUUGAUCUAAAAUACCAGAUACAUGCGCUAUGUGAUAUCGCUCACUGAUAUGGUUAUACAUCAGACAUAAACAAUUCCCCAUAUUUUCACACUGUUAGUUUUUUCUAGCAUAUAAAUCUCUCCAAUAGUCCCCAAUCUCUCUAAUUUUGGCUAUUUUAACCACAUCAUCACCUACAAAAGCGUCAUACAUAGCACUGAUUUUAGUCGUGACAUCUUCAGCCGUUUUCAACUCGUACAAAACGGUUUCUGUUACUCCAAGGAUUCUACCCUCGUCAGCCGUGAGAUGUUUAAAGGACAGAAAAUGCUGUACAACACCGAUGAAUUUAUCAGUCAAUAGUCUUUUCAUAAGCUGUUCAAA